AACAAAACCCCCAGCUCCUAAAUCUUGUGCAGAGUAAACCUAAGGGGGAGAGAAAGAACAAAGAGGCGAAGAAGAAAGAUGACCCAGAAAGCAAAUCUAUUCAAAGGUCAACAGAAGAAGAAAUCUGUUCCUCCCAACCGCCAUGGCAAACCUUCUGUCACCCGCAAAGGGAAGAGAUUUGUGAAGCCGGCCAAAGUCACCAAGGAGAUGGAUGUUGAUCGUGUCUAGAGAGUUGAAUGUAAGAAAAUUCCCAACAAAUCGCUUUGUAAUUUAUGCCCACCACAACAUUUAGUUUAGUCCCUUGCAAACAACGGUUUCUUGCAUCUAUUAUUUUAUUUUUUGUAUGUUUGUUGGAAAUUUAUUUUAAGGACAUUGUAAUAUAUAAUUAGAUUUUGUGAGAAUAGUUUCAUAUUUUUUCGCAUACUCGAACAGCUGUCUCCCUCAAUUACACAAACCCAUCACUUUUUAGUUUUCACCUCCUCCUAUUCUGCAAAUCCAUUGCUUUUCACCCAUUAAUAAAUUUGUCAAGUUUUAUUUGCUUCUGCUAUUUCUAUCCGCCCUCUUCCUUUUCUUUGUAAACAGAAUAAUUACCCAUUUAUUUCCUCUUUGUGUCUCUCCCUUCUCAAAAUUCAAUCAAAACCAACAUCUUCCAACCCAAGCCCAAAGUCUCUAGCAUCAUUGCAUGUUUGAUUAUUUUUACCAUUAUUUUUGUUCUAUAUCUUUUUAGCCACUUUAUUGUAAUAGGAAGAUCAUCUGGAAUGUGCAAUGUAAGUGGACUCAUAUUCUUAGGGAGAGGAACAAUAUGGCCUUCUUUAGUAGAAAGCUUGCACUUAGAGAGACAAAUUAUGCAGCAAUAUAUAUUAGUUUCAUUUGCAAAUUGCUUUUUUCAUAAUGUUGUUGCUCUCCAUAUACAGCCACAUAUGUAUAUGUUUACUUUGCUUGAUGAAAGUCAUUAUCCUUAGGCUGUUUUCUUAUAUUUGUUACCGUUGUAAUAAUUAACUGGAAUUUUAUUUCUUUCUACAGAUUAAAGCCCAAAACAAACUAUUUGCUUCUCUUCAAAGUUAAGUGCUUUGCUUGAU